CCUACGGGAGGCAGCAGUGGGGAAUAUUGGACAAUGGGCGCAAGCCUGAUCCAGCCAUGCCGCGUGAGUGACGAAGGCCUUAGGGUUGUAAAGCUCUUUCGCCCGCGACGAUGAUGACGGUAGCGGGAGAAGAAGCCCCGGCUAACUCCGUGCCAGCAGCCGCGGUAAU
rnacentral:rRNA from 1 species